rnacentral:pre_miRNA from 12 species
GAAUAAAGAGAGCUGUCCGUCGACAGUCCAGAUACCUAUAACACUGUCAUGGAAUUGCUCUCUUUGUAUAA